ACAUGAUUAUGGGGCCCACAUGGACAUCAGGAGCUCUGGUCUGUCUGUGUGAUUUUGAAAAAUAUUUUCUAAAUCCAAAGAGCUCAAAAGGGUUUUUCCAGAUUCAGUUCAAAUUCAUAUAUUUA